AACGAACGCUGGCGGCAGGCUUAACACAUGCAAGUCGAGCGCCCCGCAAGGGGUUCGGGAGUCGGGUGAGUAACGAGUGGGAACGUACCCGUUGGUUCUGAGCAACUCAGGGAAACUUGAGCUAGGAACGGAUGAGCUCUUACGGGGAAAGACUUAUCGCCGAGAGAUCGGGGCGGGUCUGAUUAGCUGUGUGGGGAGGUAACGGCUCACCAAGGCGACGAGCAGUAGCUGGGCUGUUCGGAUGAUCAGCCACACUGGGACUGAGACACGGCCCAGACUCCUACGGGAGGCAGCAGUGGGGAAUAUUGGACAAUGGGCGCAAGCCUGAUCCCGCCGUGCCGCGUGAGUGAUGAAGGCCUUAGGGUUGUAAAGCUCUUUUGUCCGGGAAGAUAAUGACGGUACCGGAAGAAUAAGCCCCGGCUAACUUCGUG
rnacentral:rRNA from 1 species